GAUGGUGUAGCUUAAUGGUAGAGUGAGUGCCUAGCAUGCAUGAGGUCCUGGGUUCAAUCCCCAGCACCUCUG
rnacentral:tRNA from 1 species